AGUGAACGCUGGCGGUAGGCCUAACACAUGCAAGUCGAACGGCAGCACAGUAAGAGCUUGCUCUUACGGGUGGCGAGUGGCGGACGGGUGAGGAAUACAUCGGAAUCUACUUUUUCGUGGGGGAUAACGUAGGGAAACUUACGCUAAUACCGCAUACGACCUACGGGUGAAAGCAGGGGAUCUUCGGACCUUGCGCGAUUGAAUGAGCCGAUGUCGGAUUAGCUAGUUGGCGGGGUAAAGGCCCACCAAGGCGACGAUCCGUAGCUGGUCUGAGAGGAUGAUCAGCCACACUGGAACUGAGACACGGUCCAGACUCCGACGGGAGGCAGCAGUGGGGAAUAUUGGUCAAUGGGCGCAAGCCUGAUCCAGCCAUACCGCGUGGGUGAAGAAGGCCUUCGGGUUGUAAAGCCCUUUUGUUGGGAAAGAAAAGCAGCAGGUUAAUACCCCGCUGUUCUGACGGUACCCAAAGAAUAAGCACCGGCUAACUUCGUG
rnacentral:rRNA from 1 species